rnacentral:rRNA from 1 species
AGGACGAACGCUGGCGGCGUGCUUAACACAUGCAAGUCGAGCGAGACCCCGCUUUCGGGUGGGUGUUCUAGCGGCGAACGGGUGAGUAACACGUGGGCAACCUGCCCUCAGCUCUGGGAUAACUCCAAGAAAUUGGGGCUAAUACCGGAUAUGACCGCUGACCGCAUGGUCUGGUGGUGGAAAGAUUUAUCGGCUGGGGGAUGGGCCCGCGGCCUAUCAGCUUGUUGGUGGGGUAGUGGCCUACCAAGGCGACGACGGGUAGCCGGCCUGAGAGGGUGACCGGCCACACUGGGGACUGAGACACGGCCCAGACUCCUACGGGAGGCAGCAGUGGGGGAAUAUUGCGCAAUGGGCGAAAGCCUGACGCAGCGACGCCGCGUGGGGGAUGACGGCCUUCGGGUUGUAAACCUCUUUCAGCAGGGACGAAGCGAAAGUGACGGUACCUGCAGAAGAAGCACCGGCCAACUACGUGCCAGCAGCCGCGGU